GGCUUUUCCCCGCUUCCAGAAGAAACUGUGCAUCUCCUCUGACAAACACCCUAUGCCUUUGCCUGAUGAGGGUUUGUUCCUGAGUUGGCGUUCAGGAUAGGCCAGUUGGAUGUGGUGGAAAUUGCAUGAAGAGGAAUUGAGUAGGUCUGGAUCGUCAAUAACUUGGUAUGUAAUCCUGGGCGAAUCCCUUUUCCUUGAGAUCACUCUCUCAUCUGGAAUACAUCAGUGGUUUUCAAAUUGUGCUCCAGCAGAACACGGCUGAUCCAGAAGCUAGACCAAGGAACACUGGUGGUCUCUAUACAAUUCACAGAAAACUGAAGUGGAAUAAAAUGUCCCCCCUUUGCUGUCGCUUAGUUAUUUCUAUUUAUUAUAACAUUUCCUGCACUGAAUAGAUUUUUCUGAGCAUACACAACUGUUUCUUCAAUUUGAGAUACCAAUAAACAGC
rnacentral:lncRNA from 1 species